AGGCUAGUUCAGCUUGUAAAAAUGCCAACUUUUAGCGCAAGGCUCUCUCCCAAGAGCCAUUUCCCUAGACCGGAUACAGGAAUCGUAUUCGGUCUUUUUUU
rfam:Brenneria goodwinii strain OBR1 genome assembly, contig: Contig